GUUAAAUGAGUUCUAAAGAGUGGGGCCCUAAUUCAAUAGGAUUAGUGUCUUGUAAGAAGAGGCACCAGAGAGCCUGUCUCUCUCCUCUCUCUGCAGGUC